rfam:Hordeum vulgare subsp. vulgare, WGS project CAJW01000000 data, contig: morex_contig_55022
CUACUAGUUCCUCCGUCCUGAAAUUCUUAUCUUAGAUUUGUGUAGAUAUGAAUGUAUCUAGUCAUAUUUUAGUAUUUAGAUACAUCCAUUUUUAGACAAACCUAAGACAAGAAUUUUGGAACGGAGGGAGUAUUAA